rnacentral:tRNA from 1 species
GUAAGCAUGGCAUAGUGGUUUGAGUGCUGGACUAUGACUCUGGAGUCCAGGGUUCAAAUCCUUGCUCAGCCA